AACGAACGCUGGCGGCAUGCCUAGCACAUGCCAGUCGAACGAGACCUUCGGGUCUAGUGGCGCACGGGUGCGUAACGAGUGGGAACCUGCCCUUAGGUUCGGAAUAACUCCCUGAAAGGGGUGCUAAUACCGGUUAAUGUAUUCGGACCAAAGAUUUAUCGCCUUGGGAUGGGCCCGCGUUGGUUUAGUUGGUUGGUAGGGUAAAAGCCUACCAAGGGGACGUUCCAUGGCUGGUGUGAUAGGAGGAUCCACAACGCUUGACCUGAGGCACGGCCCAGACUGCGAGGCAACGCAGCAGUGUGGAAUAUUGUGCGCGGGAGGAAAGUGUGAUCCAGCAGUGCCGCGGAAGUGAGGAAGGCCUUAGUGUUGUGAAUCUCCUUUACACGAGAUGAUAAUGACAGUACCGGGAGAAGAAGCACCGGCUAACUCCGUG
rnacentral:rRNA from 1 species